rnacentral:rRNA from 1 species
CCUACGGGCGGCAGCAGUGAGGAAUCUUGGUCAAUGGCCGAGAGGCUGACCCAGCCAAGUCGCGUGAGGGAAGACGGCCCUACGGGUUGUAAACCUCUUUUGUCGGGGAGCAAAGAGACUAACGUGUGACUCAUUGAGUUUACCCGAAGAAAAAGCAUCGGCUAACCCCGGGCCAGAAGCCGGGGGAAUACGGAGGAUGCGAGCGUUAUCCGGAUUUAUUGGGUUAAAGGGGUGCGUAGGCGGACUGGAAAGUCAGCGGUAAAAUCGAGGGGCUCAACCCCUUUCCGCCGUUGAAACUGUCGGUCUUGAGUGGGCGAGAAGUAUGCGGAAUGCGUGGUGUAGCGGUGAAAUGCAUAGAUAUCACGCAGAACUCCGAUUGCGAAGGCAGCAUACCGGCGCCCGACUGACGCUGAGGCACGAAAGCGUGGGUAUCGAACAGGAUUAGAUACCCGAGUAGUC